AGAGAGAGUGUUUGCAGUUUGACGGCUACUCGUGGACAGGCUCCGAGGCUCCUGGGCAGGGCUUCCCUCCGAUAUCCAUGGGGAGGAAUCUGGUUUGUCUGGUUGGAGCUCUUCCCCUCACGCACGUCGCUCCUCUCCUUUCAAAGGUCCAGUCGAGUCACCCCCCGUGUUUCUCCCUGAAGGCCACAGAUAAAGACCGAGUUGUCCCAGGCUUCAGCUCCUGACCUCUGACGUCAAGACACCACUGGAAUUUUUCGCGGCUUCAGGGAUGUUUCCUUCGGGGAAAACACCCUGAUAAUAAGGGGAAGCAACACGUUGUCGUUACUGUAAACAACACGCCACAUGUGAUGAGUCCCCCCCCCCAUGAGUCUGCCCAUGUGUGUGCGGGGUCCGGGUGCGAGGAGCCCGGGUCUUACCCUGCCUCUGCUGCCGGGGGAGCUCCGGUGCUGCUGCCGUGACUCCGGGGAUCUUCUGCCCGGGAACCGUGCUCGAUCCGCGGGUUCAAGCGACCAAA